rnacentral:rRNA from 1 species
ACGGAAGGCAGCAGUGAGGAAUAUUGGUCAAUGGAGGCAACUCUGAACCAGCCAUCUCGCGUGAAGGAAUACGGCCCUAUGGGUCUUAAACUUCUUUUAUAGGGGGAUAAAGUGAGGCAUGUAUGCCUUUUUGUAGGUACCCUAUGAAUAAGCAUCGGCUAACUCCGUGCCAGCAGCCGCGGUAAUACGGAGGAUGCGAGCGUUAUCCGGAUUUAUUGGGUUUAAAGGGUGCGCAGGCGGCACGUUAAGUCAGCGGUGAAAUGUCGGGGCUCAACCCGGGCACUGCCGUUGAAACUGGCGAGCUUGAGUACGGAUGAAGUUGGCGGAAUGUGAUGUGUAGCGGUGAAAUGCUUAGAUAUGACGAAGAACACCGAUUGCGUAGGCAGCUGACCAGGCCGUAAAUGACGCUCAUGCACGAAAGUGCGGGGAUCGAACAGGAUUAGAUACCCUGGUA